UACGAAGGGGGCUAGCGUUGCUCGGAAUCACUGGGCGUAAAGCGCACGUAGGCGGAUUGCUAAGUCAGGGGUGAAAUCCUGGAGCUCAACUCCAGAACUGCCUUUGAUACUGGCGAUCUUGAGUCCGGGAGAGGUGAGUGGAACUGCGAGUGUAGAGGUGAAAUUCGUAGAUAUUCGCAAGAACACCAGUGGCGAAGGCGGCUCACUGGCCCGGUACUGACGCUGAGGUGCGAAAGCGUGGGGAGCAAACAGG
rnacentral:rRNA from 1 species